AGAGUUUGAUCAUGGCUCAGAAUCAACGCUGGCGGCGUGCCUCAGACAUGCAAGUCGAACGAUUAAAGCCCUCUUCGGAGGGUGUAUAAAGUGGCGCACGGGUGAGUAACACGUAAGUAAUCUACCCUCGGGUGGGGAAUAACAACCGGAAACGGUUGCUAAUACCGCAUAAUGCAGCGGCUCCUUAUGGAGACAGUUGUUAAAGGAUUUAUUCGCCUGAGGAGGAGCUUGCGGCAAAUUAGCUAGUUGGUAAGGUAAUGGCUUACCAAGGCUACGAUCUGUAGCCGGUCUAAGAGGACGGUCGGUCACACUGACACUGAAUAACGGGUCAGACUCCUACGGGAGGCAGCAGUCGGGAAUUUUGGGCAAUGGGCGAAAGCCUGACCCAGCAACGCCGCGUGAAGGAUGAAGUAUUUCGGUAUGUAAACUUCGAAAGAAUAGGAAGAAUUAAUGACGGUACUAUUUAUAAGGUCCGGCUAACUACGUGCCAGCAGCCGCGGUAAUACGUAGGGACCAAGCGUUGUUCGGAUUUACUGGGCGUAAAGGGCGCGUAGGCGGCAUGACAAGUCACUUGUGAAAUCUCUGGGCUUAACUCAGAACGGCCAAGUGAUACUGUCGCGCUAGAGUGCAGAAAGGGCAAUCGGAAUUCUUGGUGUAGCGGUGGAAUGCGUAGAUAUCAAGAGGAACACCUGAGGCGAAGGCGGGUUGCUAGGCUGACACUGACGCUGAGGCGCGAAAGCCA
rnacentral:rRNA from 1 species